UCAUUUAAAAGUGAUUUCUAUUUAGAAUAUAUUCCAUUGUUUCUGUCAGAUGAGCCAUCUGCCAAGUUUCUGGUGAUCUGCGGUGGUGUUGGUCAAUGCAAGGAAACAGCAAUACACUCUUUGAAGAGUAUUCAUGUCACCAGAAGUCUAGGAAAAUUCACUUCUAAGCAGAAAACAGUUUAUUAGGAAUCAGUAGGGUUCAUUGGGUCCAAAUGUUGCUGAGAUGUAGAGAUAUGAGCAUACUUCUCAGAACCUGUCAGAUACAGUGAAAUUUACAGAUGAUCAUUCUUCUUGAGCAAAUUCACCUGUAUAGAGAGAACAUAGAGUUUGCCUGGGUAGCAAUAAUCUUGUUUAUAAAAAACAUAUAGGGUAUAUAUAUUCCUGAAUUUGUGAGGGUUUUAGAUACAGUUGUUACAUCUUAAAAAGCUAAGGAUCUAUUAGCUAAGAUAGAUAUAGUUGUUACAUCUUAAAAAGCUAAGAUCUAAGGAAGGAAGAUUUACUUUCAGCUGUAACUAUAAUCCUAGUAAGUCUUUACAGUCAUUCAGUCGUUCAUCAUUAUAUGUAUCAUAAGUUCACUAGUUUGAACUUUAUUCUAAUCAUAAUAGGAAGUGUCUGGAAGUUUUAAAUAGGUAAUUGAUAAGAUCUGGUUUAUCCUUUGAGAUUACUAUGGCUGCUCUGAGGAAAUUGGCCUGUUGGGGGCAAAGAAUGGCAGCAGUGAGACCCAUUGGGAGGACUUUGCAGUAUCUGGCAGAGAAGUUUUGAUACCUUGGAUUAAUAUGGCAGCAGUGACACAGUAAAAAGUAAAGAUAAACUUGGGAUAUAUUUUGAAGAUGGAGCAAACAGGACCACUAAUAUUUGGAUGUCAGAUUGAGAAAAGGAGGAAAAAUCAGAUAUGACUAGUUUUUUGGCCUGAUGACCAGGUGAAUGAUGAUAAGUAUACCAGAAAUAUGAAGACUGAAAAGAGCAGGUAUAUGGGCCGAGAUGGGGAGAGGGAAGUCUUUAAGAAUUCUGUCCUAGAUUUGUUAGGUUUGUGAUACCAACUUCAUAACUUGGUUAAGAUGGUUAAAUAUAUGAUGCUCUGGGGAGAGCCAGCAUAGUAGAUACAAAUUUGAGGAUCAUUAGCACAUAGAAGGUAUUUAAAAGCAUGGGACUUGAACAGGUUACCUCAGACGAGUUUAGAUGGUAAAAAAGGAGGGCUGAGUAUUCCAGUAUUUAGAGAUGAAGCAGCCAGCAAGGAUCCUGAAAACAUGCAGCCAAUGAAGUAGAAGGAAACCAGAUAGAGUAGGAUGUCACAGAAGCCCUGAGUAGAAGUGAGGUGUGGGCUCUGUCCAGUGCUGCUUGAGAGAAAGGAGCCUUCAUUAUUGGAUUUCAUAUGAAAGAGGGUCAUUGUUGAACACAAUGGCAAGCAUGUCUUGAACAAUUUCUAUAUGCCUGGUAUUGUUGUGCUUCUAUAUGUGCUAUUUAUAUGUGCUAUUUUAAUCCUCACAGCCGCCCUGUGAGAUAGUUACUUUUAUUAUCCUCAUUUUAUAUUUGGGGAAAGUGAGGCACAAAGAAGUUACAUUGCUUUUAUACCUAGUAAAUCACAGAACAUGGAUUAGAACCCAUGAGGUCAAAGUCCAAACUUAAUAACUAUAUUAAGGUAAAAACAGGUAUGAGACUUCAAUCAGAUAUGCUGGAGAGAGAAUGGAAAGUGAGAAAGAGCCCAUAACUAAAGACAUUCUGGAAACGUUGUAGAGUGAAGAAGAGAAAGGUGGAAGAGGGCCCGGGCAUGGUGGCUAAUGCCUGUAAUCCCAGCACUUUGGGAGGCUGAGAUGAGAGGAUCACCUGAGGUCAGGAGUUUGAGACCAGCCUGACCAACAUGGCGAAAUCCCGUCUCUACUAAAAAUACAAAAAUUAGCCAGGCGUGGUGUAAGGGGCCUGUAAUCCCAGCUACUUGGGAGGUUGAGGCAGGACAAUUGCUUGACCCUGUGAGGCAGAGGUUGCAGUGAGCCAUGAUCACACCAUUUUACUCCAGCCUGGGUGACAGAGCAAGACUAUCUCAAAGAAAGAAAAAAAAGUGGGAUAGGAGCUGGAGCUAGAAGAGAACAUAGGGUCAAAGACAUUUUCUGUUUGUUUUGUUUAAGCUAGGUGGUAUUAAAUAUGCUUCUCUGAGGCUGGUAAUGAUCCAAUUGAAAGGGGGGACCUGAAGAUUUAGGAGACAUCGGGGUGAUUUUAGAAAUGCAGUUCUUAAAUAGCAAAAUAUUGGUUUAUAUAGAAGCAAGAAAUUUCUUCUGUUUUCAGGGGGAGAACAAAUUUUAUGUAUAGGUUCAGAUGUGGCUGAAUUGAUAGUAUUGGUGGCAGGAAGACAACAUAGGCAGUUCUUGUGAAAUUACUUCUUGUUUCUCAGUGAGGUGUGAAGGGAAGGCAAGGUCAUCAGCAGAGGGAUGGAAUAGGAUGUUCCAAGUUUGAGGAAAAGGAAAAGGCAAUAGAAAAAUAAGCAUUUUGGAGAAAGAAAAAUUUGCCAGAGAAAUUAGUGAGAUUGAUGGGCAGCGUUGUGUGCCAUUUGAUUUUUUUGCCCAAAAAGACAAAUUAUGUCUUUAUGGAGUUCUGUCAUGUUGUUCUUUAUUUCCAGAGAAAAAUUUAGCUACUUAGAUGUAGACCCAGAUUCAGGUAUAUUGGGGUUGGGCAAGUAGGCAGUAGGAUGAAGGGAAAAAGGAACGAAGCAGUUAAAGUGUUUUCAAGGGAGUGGUUAUAGUACUGAAACAUACUACUUGACACAGGUGCUGAGGAAGAGGUCUUCCGUAGAUUUCCCAUGCUAUUUUGAGAUUUGAGUUGGCGGUGCUUGAGGGAAGCUAGAGCAAUAGGGGCUUGUAGUCAGGAUAUUGAUGAUAAGAACCAGAAUAUGACCAUGGAAGUGAGUGGCCCAGAUGGAACAUAGCAACGAAGUUGAUGCACUUAGGAAUGUUAGUGGCCAGAGCUAGUGCAGUGGCCCACACUUAGAGUCCCAGCUACUUAGGAGGCUGAGGCAGGAGGAUCACUUGAGGCCAGGAGCCAGAGGUUGCUGUGCACUGUGAUUGCACCUAUGAAUAGCCGCUGCACUCAACCCUGGCAACACAGUGAGACCCUGCUCGAAAAAACUAAGGACUACAGAAGUAACUUUUCAACGUGGAUAUUGAAAGUGCCAAGGACAUGAUAGAAGUUGUGGUAGAGAGGAAGAUGGCAAGCUGGGUGCUAGAAUUUCAGCAAACCAUGGUAACUGGCUAGCCGGAUGACAGUCAAAAGGAACAGUAUUGGCUAAUAUGGUCAGAUGGAAUAAUCUUCAGAAGAGUAGGAAGUUUUGAAGGAGGAAGGAGAUGAAGUGGUUUGGAGGUACGUACCCACGGGGAACAGGGUGGGUAGGGAAAACACUUUCCUGCCUACCAACUCCCAAGUUCCUGGAGGUUGGAGGCUACAAAGGGAUAAAAACUGUUCUCAGGUGUCCAUUGCAGGUAUGAAAAUCUUUUAAGAGCAUGGCCAUAGCAAGAUGGUUUUGAGGGACAGAGACCAAAGACAGAGCCACCAGUAAUGACAUUAUGGAAUGAUUCCAGGAAGAGGUGAUCGAGGAUCUGAUGAGGGUAGUAGGGUUGAAGAGAAGAAAUGAGUGAAAGAAUCAUCAGAAGCAGAACUUAGGCCAGGUGUGGUGGCUCAUACCUGUAUAAUCCCAGCACUUUAGGAGGCCAAGGUGGGAGGAUCACUUGAGCCCAGGAGUUUAAGACCUGCCUGAACAAAAUAGGGAGACCCUGUCUCUACAAAAAAUUAAAAAAGUAGCUCGGCAUGGUGACUUGCACCUAUAGUUUCAGCUAUUUGAGAGGCCAGGGUGGGGAGAUUGUUUGGGUUCAGGAAGUCAAAGCUACAGUGAGCUAUGAUCAUGCCACUGCACUCCAGUCUGGCCGAUGAGUGAGACCUUGUCUCAAAAAAAAAAAAAAGAACUUAAAGGGCUGUUUUGGAGCUAGUGGGUGAUGAUAACAUUAGCAGAGAAAGGGAAUACAGGAAGGAAGGACAGCUUUAGGGGUAAGAAAUUGAGAAGUUUUUUUUUUCCUUUCAAAUUGUUUAUCAAAGUAAUAUAUGCACAUAGUUUAAAAGUCAAAUAGUACUAAAUGUUGUCUAAUGGAAAACAGGAACAUUUUGGUUUACUUCUCACUGCCUCACAGUCUUGCUCCCAAGGGGAUAUUUUAUUGUAUUAUGUCUUUGAUAAUUUCCUCCCUCACAAUAUUCUCUGGCCCCUUUUUUUCUAGAAUCCUGUUAGACAAUUACUCGUCUUCCUGAAUUCUCUAAUAAUUUAAAAGAAAAUAUUUUUCUCCUGUCUUACUUUUUUCCCCCCUACUCUGGUGAGGAGGACUACUUUCUGUGAGAUUUCCUUUAUGUUAUUUUCUAAUACUUGAGUCAUUUUUUUAUGGCUACCUUAUUUUAAAUUCCAAACAUUCUUUUCGGUUUAUUCAUUUUUCAUAGCUUCCUAUACUUAUUUUAUGGAUGUAAUAUCUCUUCUCUUCUCUAAGGACAUUAGUUGUAAUUUUUUUUCUUAAUUGACUGUUUCUUCCAGAUGCCUUUUUUCCUUCAUUUUCUCUUUUUCUGAGAUUUUAUUGGAGGUUUCCCUCAAACGUUUGUUAAUCUUUGUCUGGCAUUUAUAUUCAUAAUAUGAAUUCCUGUCUGUUCCUAUUUAAGAAUAGGGCAUUAAAAGGCUGAAUAGAAGCUAUGUGGGCACAGGUAGGGCUUGUCGAUGGUGGAUUUUUUUGUUGUUGUGGGUAGACUUCCAAAUACCUGGAAGUCUUUCCCCCUUAGGCUGUUCAUUUUCUCAGAAAAGGAUCUUCUAAUCUUCCAGAGAAAUAUGAGCCUAGCUGCCAGUGUUCCUGAGUAGGAGCUGGGUAUGUAGUUCUCUAUAUCAAAGUUCAUUUCUUGGUAAACUGUCACUUCCUGUGUUUUCAGUCUAGCUAGUUAGUGCAUACGCUUCAUUCUCGUUAGUAUCUGGUGUUCCGCUAUGCUGAGCCCUUCCAAGAUUCUGCAGGCUGAUUUUUUUUUUUUUUUCGGCACUUAGAAACCUUUAAACAGUAAAGAAGAAAAAAAAUGUCACCAAGAAGAAACAGAGCUAAUUAAGAAAGAAGAAAAAAACUGCAACUUUUUUUCUGUGUGAGAAAACCACGACAUCCAUCCUAUCCUAACUCCAGCACUCUCCUAACUCAGUUAUUUCACCUCCAUCUUCUUUGCACCAUCCCAACAUUUGUGGGAAUUUUUGGUUAACUACUGUAUUCUCUUUUGUGUCCCCUUUUGGAUUUGUAGUUUUUUUCUUAAAAGAAAUUCCUUUGCCAUCAUCUUAGCAGAGAUUGGGGUGGGAAAGGAGAUAAUUCUGUGUGAUUAAUCUGCUAUGUUUAAUUGGACAACCUAAAUUUAGUUAUGAACAUAGUGACAUAAGGGGACUAUUAGAGAUAUACGUUUGUUGCCCAGGUGAGAAGUGUAGUUUUGGGAAUAGAUAUUUAGACUUUCAUCAGUUUAACAUAAUCAUUGAAACUAUGGAGAUGAGUAGCAUUUCUCAAAGAGAGUCUGAAGCAUGACAUUCUUUUAUUCUUUCAUUCCACCCAUAUUAAGUGCCUGCCAUGUUUGGACCAGAGAGGGUAGACUAGGAUGGAAUGUAGAGGUUGAAUACAAAGGUAAGGCAGAAGGAAGGAAGCUACUGGAAAAGCAAUGAAGGUGGUGGAAGGUGCACAAGAGGAGAGUACACCACAGCAAGAGAGGGGAGCUUUCAGGAAGAGGGAGUGGAAGGUCUUCUAGAAUAUCAAAUGCUGUGCAAGGGAUCAGGUAGAAUGAGUAAGGCAUUCUAGUAUGUGUUGAAGUCCUAGCACUAUGCUAGAAUCUGGGGAUUCUAGUGGUAAACAAGACUGAACUAAUCCUGAAUCCGUUAGCAUUUACAUCAAAGCAGAGAUUACAGUUAAAGUGGUCCUUACUUAAAGCACAAGCUGUGAGGGCAUAGGAGAGGGUAGCUAACCUUUGUUGGAGUCAGGAAAAGCUUCUGGGAGAAAGUGAUUAAGCUGAGACUCAGGCUUGAGGCACCCGAAUAAACAAAACUUAGAAUUUAAUCAUUUUGGAGGCUGGAGAGUAAGGAAUGGACUUGGAACACUGGUGGUUUCCUAUGUAACCUUUCUUUCAGAUUCCAAGGAUAGGUGAUAUGACAGCUUUGAACAUCAAAGGGACUUUUUCCAACAUUUGUAUACAUUGACAUAUUACUACAAAGUUACAAAGGAAAUUUCUAAAAUCCUGGUCAUUCGUAAAGAAAAUAUUUAACAUUCCAUGGGAAAAUGUACUUUGAGAUUUGAUGACAAAAAUAGGCUGUCUAUAGCUCUCAGAGUGGUACAAUUGGGCUACUUUAAAAAUAAAUCACUAAUGAUUAAUUAGCGCUCAAAGCUUAUGCUUUCAUGGACUUCCUUAUUAUGAUACCUAAGGCCCAGGUGAAUAACAGAAUACAGUAGUUAUGUUACACUAACAUAUUACACUGUGAUUUAAAUGUAAUACCUCUAACUAUAAAAAUCGUCGAAGAAAACCUUGUAAACACCAUACUGGACAUCAAUGUUGGGAAAGAAUUUAUGACUAAGUCCUCAAAACCAAUUGCAACAAAAACAAAAAUUGACAGAUGAGACCUAAUUAAACUAAAGAGCUUCUGCACAGCAAAUGCAACUAUCAACAGAAUAAAUAGACAACCUACAGAAUUGGAGAAAAUAAGGAACUGAAACAUUGAACAAGCAAAAAACAGCCCCAUUAAAAAAUGAGCAAAGGACACAAACAGACACUUCUCAAAAGAAGAUAUACAAGUGGCCAAGAAACAUAUGAAAAAUGCUCAUCACCACUAAUUGUCAGAGAAAUGCAAAUCAAAACCAUAAUGAGAUACCAUUCUUAUGCCAGUCUGAAUGGCUAUUACUAAAAAGUCAAAAAACAACAGGUGUUGGUGAGGCUGUGGAGCAAAGGGAAUCCUUAUACACUGUUGGUGGGAAUGCAAAUUAGUUCAGCCAUUGUGGAAAGCAGCUUGGACAUUUCUCAAAGAACUUAAAGCAAACUACCAUUUGAACCAGCAAUCUCAUUAUUGGGUGUAUAUCCAAAAUUAUCCUACCAAAAAGACACAUGCAUGUAUAUAUGUUCAUUGUGGCACUAUUCACAAUAGCAAAGACAUGGACUCAACCUAGGUGCCCCUCAGCAGUUGGGAUAAAAAUUUAACAUAUUAUCAUAUCGGAUAAAGAAAAUCUGAUACAUGUAUAUUAUGUAAUACUACACAGCCAUAACAAAGAACAAAAUCACGUCCUAUGCAGCAACGUGGAUGAAGCUGGAGGCCAUUAUCUUAAGUGAAUUAACACAGGAACAGAAAACGAAAUAUGCAUGUUCUCACUCAUAAUUGGGAGCUAAACAUUGGGUGCUCAUGGACAUAAACAUGGGAACAAUAGACACUGGGAAUGACUAGAGGGGGAAAGGAGAGAGAGGGACAAGAGUUGAAAAACUAAAUGUUGCUUACUAUGCUCAGUACCUGGGUGGGGGGGUCAUUCAUACCCCAAACCCAGCAUCAUGCAAUAUACACAGGUAGCAAAACUGCCUGUGUACCAUGAGUCUGAAAUAAAGUUGAAAAGGAAGAAAAGAGUGUUUUUUCAAGCUCUUAAAAAAAAAAAAAACUAAUUUUUCUUUCUCCAAAAAAAAUAGUAAAUGAUAUUCAUGUAUUUAUUGUGGUCAUUAAUAUCCUCAAUUAAAUUUAUAUAUUGGCUUGAAGAAAAAAACACAGUUACUUUACAGUGAAUAUUUACCUACUACUGUUGAUAAUGGCAGUCUGCCUAAGAGUAAAUUUUUCAGAAAGGGCAGUGGUAUCUUGAAUUACCUUAUAAAAUUGAGAAAGGAAAAUAUUCAAAUCUGUCAUUUGGGAGAAAGCUAUGCCUUAUGAGCAGAAGUCAGAAGGAACACUACCCUUUUCUUUGCUAGAAACAACAGAGUCACUUCUCCCUUUUCUCCUUCCUGUGCUCUUAGCUGAUAGAAUGAGCAUAUGACCUUGGAAAAAGAAAGAACCUCUCUCUUCCUCAUUGUUUCAUGUCCCUGGGAACCACCUGAGGGGUAGCAGGAGAUGGAAACUAUCAUUGUUUCUCUGGUGGUGGCAGCACAGGGUGGCGUGGGAGUGGAAUGUGUUCUUAGUUGGAAAAAUUUACCAAAACAACCAUCCAGUACAUACCAGUCUGCAACUCUCACUCCCUGGGCCAAGAGUUUUCUUCCUUUGGUAUAGUCUGAGAUGCAAAGUGCUUACAUAGGUAAAUCUAAACGGUAAGUCUUGAAAGAGAUCUCUCAAUAAAAUAGACAAAAUGUUCACCAGUUUAUUGGUCCAGUGAAAAUGUUAGACUGAUCCCAAAGGCCUCUUUCUAUUCUAAAAAUUCUAUUCUUUUGUGUGGUUCAUUUUUUGUAUUUUUAGUAUGUGAACAUUGGUCACUGCUUAUCUCUAGUAAAGGCGGUGAGGACAAUGUCAUUCUUAUCUUAGAAGAGUGGGUGUUUCAUAAACAACUAAUUCCGGGAAGGCUUUCUAUGAGUCAAGCCCAGCUUCUGUGGGGAGGCAGCCUGGCUCAGGAGAGCUAUAGGGACUCACCUGAGGUUAAAAACAUGGUCUAGGCUGGAUGCGGUGGCUCCCGUCUGUACUCCCAGCACUUUGGGAGGCUGAGAGGCUGUUUCUUCUUAAAGCUUUCAAGUGGUGUAUAAGUCCCUUUAUGCUGCCGUAAAGGAAUAUCCAAGACUGGGGACAUGGAUGAAUCUAGAGAACAUCAUUCUCAGCAAACUGACACAAGAACAGAAAAUGAAACACCGCAUAUUCUCACUCAUAGGCGGGUGAUGAAAAAUGAGAACACAUGGACACAGAGAGGGGAGUACUAAACACUGGGGUCUAUUGGGGGGAAAAGGGGAGGGCCAGUGGGAGGGGGUGGUGGGGAGGGAUAGCCUGGGGAGAAACGCCAAAUGUGGGUGAAGGGGUGAAAGCAAACAGAACACACUGCCAUGUGUGUACCUAUGCAACUGUAUUGCAUGCUCUGCACAUGUACCCCAAAACCUAAAAUGCAAUAAAAAAAUAAGAAAAAAAAAAAAGUGUUUAUCACCUCCCUGCUGGCCUUGCACCUGCUCUGGCUGUGUAAGACAUGCCUGCUCCCCGCUUGCCUUUCGCCAUGAUUGAAAGUUUCCUAAGGCCUCCCCAGCCAUAUUUCCUGUACAGCCUAUGGAACUGUAGGCCAAUUAAACCUCUUUUCUUUAUAGAUUAACCAGUCUCAGAUAUUUCUUUAUAGUAGUAUGAGAAUGGACUAAUACAAUCAGGUUCUGAAGAAACAUCUUAAUCUGUAAAGUUCUGUCUUUAUUUUGCAUUUCUUGCUCUUAUAAUGAACCACACCUCCUGGUAUUCAUGCUUUUGUGUAGUCCUCAUCCUCCUACUUUGAUUGUAGGCUUGACCAAGUGACUUACAUUGGCCAAUGGAAUGUUAACAAAUACGAGGCAAGCAGAGACUUGAUAAACACUUGUACCUGGGAGCAUGUCCUCUUGGAAAGCUUUCUCUUGGACUGCAGUCUUCAUGCUGUAAAUAAGCUCAGGACAGGCCACUAAAUGAUGAGAGACCAUAUGGAAAGAGCCUGAAUGACAAGAGCCAACUUGGACAUUCCUACUUCAGCUGAACUCAGAAUUGAAUGCAGUACCUGAGUGACCUCAGCUACAGAAUAUGAUACAGAUGAACCACACAGCUAAUCCCAGGCAACCACAUACUUGUGGAAUAUAACAAUACAUUGUUGUUUUAAGACAUUAGAUUUUUGGGGUGUUUCAUUUACGUAGCAAUAUACAAUGGCUAUAUAACCUCUUUCUUCCCUUC